rnacentral:misc_RNA from 1 species
UCUCCGUAGGUGAACCUGCGGAGGGAUCAUUACAGAGUUCUCGCCCUCGCGGGUAGAUCUCCCACCCACUGUUAUCGUUACUGUGUUGCUUUGGCGGGCCGCCGGGCCCCGCUCGGCCGCCGGCUCCGGCUGGCGCGCGCCCGCCAGAGGCCCAGCAAACUCCGAAUGUUAGUGUCGUCUGAGUACUAUAUAAUAGUUAAAACUUUCAACAACGGAUCUCUUGGUUCUG